GAAGGAUAACGUUGCGUCAGCAACGGCCCGAAGGGCGAGGCGAAGCCGAGUCAUCCUGCACGACCCACCA
rnacentral:sRNA from 2 species